ensembl:lncRNA
AUGGAAAGACACAAACCACGGGGCUCGGAGCCUGAUCAGGAAUCUACAUCAUAUGGGAAUGGGCAGUGUGAACAGAGGCAGAAAAGAAGUGCAGACAUCGACCUUCCUAACUUGAGCAGAAAGAAAGGAUGGAAAUGGUUAUAUCCGAUAGCAUGACCAUCACAACUCUGAGAGCUCUGGUUACUCAGUCAUGCUGACAUUUGCAUUCUAAAAUUGAUCAUAUUUUAUAUAAUUUCAGGGAAUUCAAAUGUGAAUAAACUGCUUCAAACUGAAUUUGUUUCCAAAUGAUACUGUUCAUUAUUAGAUACUAGCUUGAGGACCCAGGAGUGUGUGGGUUAUUAGAAGAAGGCAUUUUUGUAGGUAAUAUUAGUUAAGUUUGAUCCAUAUCAGUCAUUGGCUGGAUUCAGUGCUGUCUGGAUAAGGGUGAACUACAACUCCCAGAUUCCCAGGACAAUUAUCCCCAAACCCUGACAGAAUUCACAGUUGGCCAUGUUGGGUCUGUACACCAAGUUUGCUCCAGAUCCAUAAUCAGCUGGGUUCAGGACUCUCUGGAUAAGGGUGAACUACAACUCCCAAAAUGUAGGUCCAUUCCCACUAACCGCUGCAGUAUGUUCAGUUGGUCAUGGGGCUUCCCUGUGCCAAGUUUGGUCCUAGUCCAAUGUCGGUGGGGGUCACAGUAUCAGUGAAGGUACUGCAAGUCUCAUUACCCAUGACAAGUUUGGUCCAGAUCAAUUGUUGGUUGGGUUAACAGUGCUCUCUGGCUGUAGGUGAACUACAAUUCUUGUAAAUCAUGGUGAAUUCUCCCCCAAACCUCUUGUUCAGUUGCUGAUCAAUUCCUCUGUUAACUGUGUUCCAUAGGAAAGGGUAGGAAAGGGUUAAGGUGGAGAUAGUGGGUGGAGUCAUGCAAACAAAGGAACCCUGAGAUGUCCAUUCUGGAGGAAAAACAGAAUAUCUAGGAUGAAAUGGUCCCCACAUAAAAGCCUUCACUUGGGUGGGGGCAGAAUAGUGUUUUUGGAGGACACUGGCAGGGUGUGGGCGACAUGUUAAUGGUGCUCUCAGGGAGGGCAUUGGUGUCUGCUGCUCAGUGGGAGCUGUAGCCUAUUUGUGGCUACAGUGGGAGGCCUCUGCCACAUACUCUGUCACAUACACAUUUUUCACUUUUAUUAUGCUUUCUCAGUUGAAAAGUUAGUUUCACUUCUGGGUUCACUUCUGAAAUUCUAUGCAGACUUGAAAAAAAUACAAAUAUGCCCCAUAAUAUUAAGAGAAGGCAACAGGAACACACACUCAUUUGUUUGUCCACGUUCAUGUUGCCACCAUUUAAUAAUAGGUUGUAACUAUUUGUAGUCAGUGGAAUUUGUAGAUCCAGAGGGCCCAAAGUAUAUAAAUUACAUUGUGCUACUUUUUAUGUCUUCAUGAAUUGCACAACUAUUAAAUACAGCAACAAGAAGAACAUUUCCUACCAGCUGACUUUAAAAAACCCCACAUGCACUAUGCUCAAAAUGUAGUUUGACAAAGAAACAGAUCAAGAAAAAAUAAUUAAUUAUCUUCAAUAAAGAAAAGGAGAAAAAAGCAAGACAAAAUCCUCAUGUGAGUUAUUAUGUCAAUAUAUGAGAAUGCCAUUCAUAUUAAAAAAAAGUCACUCAACUAUCAUUCUGUUCAUGUCAAAAAUU